rnacentral:lncRNA from 1 species
CUCUAAAAGUUGAUUUAACAAUCCACUUAAGGUGGACUUAAAUAAGCUUUGGGGAAAUUUAUUUCCUUUUCCUAGAAGGAUUUAAUUUCCUAUUGAAAGAGAGAAUCAACAACAAAAUAGGAAGCAGUUCAGAGUUUCCUAAAGCAAGAAAAUCUCUACACCUAUUGCCCUUUUCUGCAAACAGCUCAACAGGUGUGGGGGCAUUUGUGGAGCCAAAAAUAUUCACCAGGCGACACGUGGACUUUUGAACGAAAGAGGACAAAAAUACCCUUGAGGCAUACCGGGAUUCCUACGCGCAAGUAGUGGGUAAUCAUCCUCAACCAAUUCAAAAAUGCUCCAGAAGAGGUAACCAAUUCCAAAUUAUCUUAUUUUAGGUAAUUAUUUCCAAAACUUAAUUUCCCUAAUAUAU